CCCGGGAACGGCCUCUCCUGAUGACCCUUCCCUCCCUGAUGGCCCUGACGUGAUGGUGGCCAAGGGAAGCCUCUGAGAAGUUGUCUGAGGAGGCUGUUCCCGG